GCGAGUUUAAGCAUAAAUAAGGCCACAGCUUCUAAAUACCAAGAUUACUAAUAAAUGCGGCAAGUUUGUAUUCAAUUUCUCUGCAUAUAAAACAAAUAAAUAGAUAUAUCUAUGACAUGAUUCUCAACACAACAUAAUAAUCUUAAAAUAUAAAGAAUAGCGAAAACAAUAUCGGUUUAUCACAUAGAGAUACAAAUAAAUACCAAACUUUGAACCAAAAACAGAUUACAUCUCACCAACCCCUUCCAAAAAUCAUUCUUUAAAUUAAAAUGUGAAGGAGAUAUGAACUCAAAUCUCUCCAGGCCUCAAACUAAAUAAAAAGAAACAUAUUUUUUAAACAUCACUUUCAUGAUAGCUAAAAAUAAGUGAGUAUUAUACUUGACGCAUGGUUUUUCUUACAAUAGGCAUAACAUUUUCACGAAGACAAUAAUAGAAGUAAAAGUAAAGGGACAAAGAUCACCUGCUGCGGGGUAGUGAACGGGGGCUUGCGGUCUCGAUCUUAGAUCUACUUACUAACUCUGAUGACCACCGUUAAUGGUCGAAACGAACACACAAACUAUUGCUGCGACUGGAAUGCCAAAGAAAAUGGUAAAAUACGAAAAUAGAAGAGAUGGUUUAGAGGAGAAAUAACUAAAAAUUUUAGAGGUGAGGGGCUGCCAGAUUUUGAAAAAAAUCCUCCCAAAUAAGCUCUGAAAUGUAAGUAUUUAUAGGGAAAAAUUAGGGUUCUUCAUUUGUG
rnacentral:lncRNA from 1 species